rnacentral:antisense_RNA from 1 species
UGUGGGAGCUGGCUUGCCAGCGAUUGCGCCGGCACAGGCAAUAUUUGUGUGACUGAUACACCGCCAUCGCUGGCAAGCCAGCUCCCACA